UGGGGAAUCUUGCGCAAUGGCCGAAAGGCUGACGCAGCGACGCCGCGUGGAGGAUGACGCCCUUCGGGGUGUAAACUCCUGUUGCCCGGGACGAAUGCCCCUUUUGAGGGGAGUGACGGUACCGGGUGAGGAAGCACCGGCUAACUCUGUGCCAGCAGCCGCGGUAAUACAGAGGGUGCGAGCGUUGUCCGGAAUCACUGGGCGUAAAGGGCGCGUAGGCGGCUCGGUAAGCGUGUGGUGAAAGCCCGGGGCUCAACCCCGGGUCGGCCAUGCGAACUGUCGAGCUGGAGCACGGUAGAGGCACAUGGAAUUCCGGGUGUAGCGGUGGAAUGCGUAGAGAUCCGGAAGAACACCGGUGGCGAAGGCGGUGUGCUGGGCCGUAGCUGACGCUGAGGCGCGACAGCGUGGGGAGCAAACA
rnacentral:rRNA from 1 species